rfam:Podospora anserina complete mitochondrial genome
AUGGAUGUGCUGGAAAUGGUAGACAGGAGCCGCUUAGGACGGUUUGGUUUAACGACUGUACAAGUUCAAAUCUUGUCAUCUAUA